rnacentral:sRNA from 1 species
GGGUACGAGAGUGGCUGGGUGGCAACAUCUGUCACUCCAUUGAUUGCCAGGCUGGCUUCAUUAGUUCUGGCUGGCUAUGCUAGGUUCUCCUUCCUGCCUUACCUUCCCAUGUGCAUUUCUUCUCUGAUUACCUGCUCUGGUCGAAGAAGGUAUCUCUCUCCAACACGGUAGGCCAUUCUUCAGAAGGAAGUGCACUUACCAGAGAAUGGUCCCCUUCUAGAGCCCCUUAGUUCU